rnacentral:rRNA from 1 species
UACGUAGGGGGCAAGCGUUGUCCGGAAUCAUUGGGCGUAAAGCGCGUGUAGGCGGCUCGAUAAGUCUGCUGUGAAAGUCCAGGGCUCAACCCUGGGAUGCCGGUGGAUACUGUCGAGCUCGAGUCCGGAAGAGGCGAGUGGAAUUCCCGGUGUAGCGGUGAAAUGCGCAGAUAUCGGGAGGAACACCAGUAGCGAAGGCGGCUCGCUGGGCCGUUCCUGACGCUGAGACGCGAAAGCUAGGGGAGCGAACAGG